rnacentral:rRNA from 1 species
CACCGCGGCUAUACGAGAGACCCAAGUUGUUACACUCCGGCGUAAAGAGUGGUUAUGGAGAACAAAAACUAAAGCCGCACAUCUUCAGGGCUGUUAUACGCACCCGAAGACUAGAAGCCCAACCACGAAGGUGCUUUAUAGCCCCUGACCCCACGAAAGCUCUGGCA